rnacentral:tRNA from 1 species
AGUGAGGUCAGCUAAUUAAGCUCUUGGGCCCAUACCCCGAAAAUGUUGGUCAAAACCUUCCCUCACUA